AUUGAACGCUGGCGGCAUGCUUUACACAUGCAAGUCGAACGGUAACAGGCCUUCGGGUGCUGACGAGUGGCGAACGGGUGAGUAAUGCAUCGGAACGUGCCCAGAGGUGGGGGAUAACGCAGCGAAAGCUGUGCUAAUACCGCAUGUGAUCUGAGGAUGAAAGCAGGGGACCAAGCAGCAAUGUUUGGCCUCGCGCCUCUGGAGCGGCCGAUGUCAGAUUAGGUAGUUGGUGGGGUAAAGGCCUACCAAGCCGACGAUCUGUAGCUGGUCUGAGAGGACGACCAGCCACACUGGGACUGAGACACGGCCCAGACUCCUACGGGAGGCAGCAGUGGGGAAUUUUGGACAAUGGGCGCAAGCCUGAUCCAGCAAUGCCGCGUGCGGGAAGAAGGCCUUCGGGUUGUAAAACGCUUUUGUACGGAAAGAAAAGGCUCUGGCUAAUACCUGGGGCUGAUGACGGUACCGUAAGAAUAAGCACCGGCUAACUACGUG
rnacentral:rRNA from 1 species